rnacentral:misc_RNA from 1 species
GAUGAAGAACGUAGCGAAAUGCGAUAGGUAAUGUGAAUUGCAGAAUUCAGUGAAUCAUCGAAUCUUUGAACGCACAUUGCGCCCUUUGGUAUUCCUUAGGGCAUGCCUGUUCGAGCGUCAUUUCAACCAUCAAGCCCCCGGCUUGUGUUGGGGACCUGCGGCUGCCGCAGGCCCUGAAAACCAGUGGCGGGCUCGCUAGUCACUCCGAGCGUAGUAAUACAUCUCGCUCAGGGCGUGCUGCGGGUUCCGGCCGUUAAAAAGCCUUAUUUACCCAAGGUUGACCUCGGAUCAGGUAGGAAGACCCGCUGAACUUAAGCAUAUCAAUAAGCGGAGGA